AGGAUCCGGGGCGGUGGGCUUUGCUAUGAAUUCUAACCCUAUGAUUUCAGCACCUUUUCUCUCCAUGUGUGUGGAGGGGAGAGGGGACUAGAAUCAUUUCUGGAUAGGAAGUCAUACAGGCAAAAAAAAAAAAACAAAAAAAAAACCCCGCAGAAACAAACAAAAAAGAGGACGCUUUACUUUGAGUACAAAGGAGCCACACCUCGGCCUGAAAGGUCCUUCAAGAGAGCUACGGAACUGGACAGCUAAAACCACAUGCUGCCCAAGCCUCAGUGAGAGCGAGGUGAAACGGAAACUUCCUGUUUAUUUUAGUCCUUUAAAGCUGUGGGGGCGGGGAUUUAAACCAGGGCUGUAGCACGCCGAAGGAAUCACAACUGCUAGAUCAGUUUGGAAAAUUGUGGCACCCCCUGGCCCACGGACCAUGCCCUCCGGUUCCCACCUGAGGACUAGACAGAGGUAAUAGCAUAAUCAAGCAAAGGAGUGAGCCGGGACUACCACCAGAUGCUUUCAAUUAGCCAAUUUUAACCUUACAGCAUCCUUCUUGGGGUGGGGGAGGGGAGCAGGGGUGAGGAUGGAGAGCAAAUGCCAUCCUCGUUUUUUUUUUGUUUUUGUUUUUUGUUUUUACACAAUAGAGGCCUGCCCCGGAGGCUAAAUGACCCAGUAACACACAAACAGCAAAACAAAGGCUGAGUCAGGACCUGGCUGGGUCUCAGGCCUUACCCCCAGAGCAGCUACUUCCUCCUAAAUAUCUCUAAGCCCUCAUUUCUUGGGCCUUUAGUUUUAGCACCUGGGCUGCCAUGCUUUUGCUCCUGGUUAUGCUGUUUCCAUCACCUCCAUCUGGGGAUCUCUGUGGAAGUGAAACUGCGCACCGCAGAUGGGACUUGAACCUACAAUCUUUAGCUUAGGAAAGGGGUUUGAACCCCAAAUCUUCCAGCUGAAACUGCAUACCUCGUCUCAGGACUUAAAGAAGCUCAGGUUCUUUGAGUCUUGGCGAGAAAGAAUUCGCAACAUCUGGAUGAGUGUAUGAGUGAAGAACUGGGAGAACUGCUGGUAUACCAUGAGUCACAUGUGGGAUCUAACCUGUACCCCCUGCACUGGACCACCAGCAUGUAGCACAGAGGUCCUGGAACAUAGUGAGAACCAGCACCCCGCCCCCCCACCGCCCGGGCUGCCAAGAUUUUUGAAUGAGUUAUUCAAUCAUGUAGUAUUUUAAAAUAUAUUCUUUGUCUAUUAAUUCCUGAAAUGGAAUGUUGAGAGUUCCAAUUAAAAUAAUGUUUGCUUUC